GACGAACGCUGGCGGCGUGCUUAACACAUGCAAGUCGAACGGAAAGGCCCUGCUUUUGUGGGGUGCUCGAGUGGCGAACGGGUGAGUAACACGUGAGUAACCUGCCCUUGACUUUGGGAUAACUUCAGGAAACUGGGGCUAAUACCGGAUAGGAGCUCCUGCUGCAUGGUGGGGGUUGGAAAGUCUCGGCGGUUGGGGAUGGACUCGCGGCUUAUCAGCUUGUUGGUGGGGUAGUGGCUUACCAAGGCUUUGACGGGUAGCCGGCCUGAGAGGGUGACCGGCCACAUUGGGACUGAGAUACGGCCCAGACUCCUACGGGAGGCAGCAGUGGGGAAUAUUGCACAAUGGGCGGAAGCCUGAUGCAGCAACGCCGCGUGCGGGAUGACGGCCUUCGGGUUGUAAACCGCUUUCGCCUGUGACGAAGCGUGAGUGACGGUAAUGGGUAAAGAAGCACCAGCUAACUACGUG
rnacentral:rRNA from 1 species